UACAGAGGUGGCAAGCGUUGUUCGGAAUUACUGGGCGUAAAGGGCGCGUAGGCGGCCAUCUAAGUCAGACGUGAAAUCCCCCGGCUUAACCUGGGAACUGCGUCUGAUACUGGAAGGCUUGAGUAUGGGAGAGGGAUGUAGAAUUCCAGGUGUAGCGGUGAAAUGCGCAGAUAUCAGGAGGAACACCAAUGGCGAAGGCAGCUCGCUGGAACGGUACUGACGCUGAGGCGCGAAAGCGUGGGGAGCGAACAGG
rnacentral:rRNA from 1 species